GGCAGCCUGUGGAGGUGAGCAGACCUACACUCUGAAGCUCUGCAAAAGGAGUGCUGUGGGAGGCCCAACUACCAGGUCUCCUGACUAUUGAUGGUCUAGUUGCCCUGCUGAGGGAAGAGGACUCUGGACAUUUGCAAGGAAGAAGAACCACCUUUCACUCAGAAGACACCUUUCCCUCUGCUGCUACUUGCCUUUCGACAAAGUAUCUCCCAUCUCUCCCCCCUUCCUGCUUUUGCCAGAAGAGGGGCUUUUAAAGGUCACUGGCAGCCCUUAACUGGGCUCAGGUGUCUCUAGUUAACCUGAAGUAACCUUUUGUUAGUCCCUAGGGAAUAGGGCCUUCACCAUUCUAGGGCUCAUGUACUGCUUUCCACCACUGUCUUGUGGGUGUGGAGCUACCACUGCUGAGCCCAGAGCACCCUCUUCAGCUUUCAUCUAGGCCAGCCCCUCCCUGCUAUCUCACCGGCUAGUGGUCCCCCUGGUUGCUGCUGUGCCUUGGGGGGGGGGGCCCUGCUGGCCUGCUCCCCAGAGGAGAAGCAAGGGCCCCACCUCUGCUGUUGAUACCCCCUUGAGGGGUCCCUCCUGACUGCUGAUUCUUCUGCGUGGAAGCCUGCUGCUACCCUAAGGAGGAACAGGAAGACCUUUACUGCUGGGGGAGCAUGCAGGAACGCUGCAGGACACUGUGUAGGGGGGCCUACUGUUCGGCUGAAUGACUUUUUCCAUCUUUGCUCUCAUGGUGGUGUUAUGGGGAGAAGGGGGAGCGGCGUGGAGCCCUCUGCCUGGUCUAUCUGCCCCUCCCCCACAGCUACCAUCUGCCUCCAAUCCUCACCCCUCUACUCAGUUGCUCGUUUCUCCACCAUCUGGGACUAUUACAGCAGCUGCUACAGACUGAGCUCGCAAGCACAUGUGGUUGCAUGUGUCUUUCCUCCUGCCCCUGGACUUGCCCUCCCCUCCUCUGCUUCUUCUGCAGGUGGGCUUCCCCCACCCUCUGCUUUGCCCACCGGCCUUCCCAGCAGCAGUUUACCCCUUGCUGCCUGCCUUGCCCUGGCCCCUGGCUGUUUGCCUGUGUGCCUGCCCCACUCCAGUCCCUGGAUGUUUGCUAGUUUUGCCUGCCCUGCCCUGCCCUGCCCCUUGCAGCUAGCCCCUGUGGGUUUCCUACCUUGGCCCCAGUCUGCUUCCAGUCUCUCCCUUUCUCCCCUCACUUUCCGUUGUCCCCCUCUUGUUCAACUCCCUCACUCCAUGCACCCAUGUCCCGUCCCCCCCCCACAGCACUUGUGCCCCUUUCUGUUUUAUGUUGAACCCCUAGAGUCCUUGGAGGACCUGGGUGAAUGGGUGGCUUUCACCUCUGUCCUGCCUUUCCUUCCCAAUGCCACCCUUUUGCCCUCCUUUCUGCCCUGGAGAAGCCCCUUUCGGUGAUCAUCCCUCUCCCACUAGGCUGCAAGGACGCUGCCCUCCGUCACUUCCUCUCGUUCCGCCGGUAGGUGCAGAUUCAGCUGCUGGUGGUGGUGUGUGAUGGAGAGGUACUCAAGGAGUCCUUUUUGCAGAGGGCCUGGUACCAGGUGUACUACUCUUUGGGCGAGGCCCAGUGUUACCUCUGGUGGGCAACAGGGCACGUCUGGAGGGACUGACCCCUGGCCCAGCAUGGAGGGAUGCCUGGGACUCCCAAGCCCCAGGAGGGAGCCAGCCUUGUCACUGUCUGUGACCCUGCUUACCCAGCUCCCACAGUCAACUCUCCUCCUCCCCAGCCUGCCAUUUCCUCCGCUCGGGCCCUGGGGGUGGCCCCCAUGGUGUGCCCAGAUGAGCAGGCAGGCCCUACCUCUGUCAUGUGCAGUUCAGGGGGACCCACGGAGGAGAAGGCAGUGGGGCAUGGUAGAGGACCCACUCCAGGGGCAGCUUUCCCUUGUCCACACUGUCGUCCACCCCCAUUACCUCCCCAACUCCUUGCCUUUACCCCCUAGCCCCAUCCCUGCUGGCCAGCCCUCUGCUAACACCUGGGAGGGCUGGCAAGAGGAAGGCACGGGCUCAGCACCUCCCCCUCGAUGCAGAGGGUGAGGAGGCCCCCUGCAAGACCAGAAGGGGGGCUGCUGCUGUCAAGCCUUCCAUCACCUCCCCGUGAUAGGGCACAACAACUAGAGCCAGCUGGGGGAGUUGUGGCAGUCAUGAGAGGAAGUACUGCCCCACUUCUGGAGUACGUUCUUGUGAGAGCCUCAGAUGGAGCCCCUGCAUCCCUUUGUUAUCUGCCGGCUCCCCGGUUGGCACUGAGGUAUUCUCCUUCCUCAGCUCCUCAUGAGUGCCUAGUCCUGGCCAGGGACUUCAAAACCAUCCUUGAAGAGAAGGACCUCUCUGGGACCAAGCAGUGCCCGGCUGCCUCGGAGGUCCUCCGGGAGACUGUAGACCAUCACUCCCUGCAUGACACCAUCCAGACAAUGAGUCUGCUUUUACUUGUGUCUGGAUAGAGGCAGACCGGUCGUGCCACUCCCAGUUGGAUCACAUUUCUUUAUCUUGUCCUCUUUUGCAGGCCCACUCCUGCAGCAUCUGUCUGGCCCUGUUCUUGGACCAUCAUCUGUUGGCCAUGGCAGCCUCUCUGACUUCAGAGAGGUUGAGGCUGGCCUAUUGUCACUUUAACAAUAGCCUGCUGGGCCUUGUUGCAUCCUUCCGGGAGUUCUGGCAGGCCUGGUGAGGGAAGAGGUGCGCCUUACCCUUGGCCCAGUGGUGGUGGGAUGUGGGGAAGGUGCACACGCCCGGCUCUUCUGUCAUGACUAUGCCUCGAGCACCAGCUGUUGGAGGGCUUUGGUGUCGGAGCAGAUGCUGCAGGAGGUCUUUGAGCUGGAGAGGCAUCUGGCCGCCAGCCCCAGGGAUUUAUCCAUGUGCGGAGUGGCUGUCUAUAACACCAGGGAGAGGAUGUUGGCUGAGGGGGUUCUUUGCGACUGUGGGCCUAUUUUUGCUCGCGUAUCUGAGCAGAGUUCCUCUGGGUAGCAUCUGCUGGCUCCCUUGACACCUUCGAGGAGCAGUGGAUGCUGUCUGGGGUUUUCUGUUUGGUGUCCCCUUCAGGUUCCCUAUUUUUGAUCUGUUGACUCUCACACCUGUUUUUUUUUUUCUGUUGUCCCCAUACUUGUGUCCCAGGCUCAGUGGAUCCUCCCCAUAGGCUGGAGCAUGGUCUUUUAGCUGUGGACAGACUUGUGCCUGUCCACUUCCCAGAACCCAAUAGGACCACUCUUAUAUCUGCCAGGACCGACUUUGUCACAACAGCUAUAUUGGUAAAAAAAAAAACCAAACAACAAAACAUAGCCCUAAUUGACAUAGUUGUACUUGUACAAAAACAGCAUGUGGACCAGCUGUGAUGCUGUAUGACCAUAAAAUAUGACCAUUUAUGUCAUUAAUAUUGCCACUGUUGGACAAUUGCAACAAAUCUUGUACAAAGUAUGUCCUGGAAAAGUUACAAUCUAUCAAAUAUGAUUAUUCUGUUUGUACACAUGUAUCAUCUUUGUAUCUAGCGUUAUGAAUAUUGACCAUGUACAGUAUUUCAAAUGUGUGUGCUCCUGGGGGGUAACACCAGUUUACAUCCCCGUCUAGCCAGCACAUUGUGAAUGGACCAUUCAAAUUGAUAGCCUAUUAAAUAACACAAUGGGCUGUAGAAGAAGCUUGUCCCCCACCAGUGAGCCUUCCUGUGGAUGCUUUAGCCAGAAUAUGGAUAAUGGCUGCUUCUAUGAGUCAUGAAAGCAUGCAAGGGCGUGUGACUACUCGUGUGAACCUGGACGGACUCCAUCUUGUGCCUGUAAUUUUCCACACACUAAGGCUGAGAGCAUUCCCUUCACAUGGGAGAAAAUAUAAAGGACCCUGAAAGCAUCUCCAUUUUGCCUGUUUUCUGCUCUGAUCUCUGAAUUUACACUAAAAAAAGCAUAUUGACUAUGGACUGAGGACCUUCCAAUCUUUUGGAAAUUACCAGAGAUUUGACAAGCCAGCAGUCUAUAACCUCACUGCUACAAACCUGAUACAAGAACUUUGCAGUGAAUGUAUGUAUAUAAUUUCUUUGACCAUUUUUAACUCUUUCCUUUUUCUCUUAUAAAGAAACCUUUAAAUAUUAGGUACUAAAGGAUUGGCAACAGAGU